rnacentral:rRNA from 1 species
UACAGAGGUCCCAAGCGUUGUUCGGAUUCACUGGGCGUAAAGGGUGCGCAGGUGGGUUGGCGAGUUUGACGUGAAAGCCCCGGGCUUAACCCGGGAAUGGCGUUGAAAACUGCUGAUCUGGAGGAUUGGAGGGGGGACUGGAAUUCUUGGUGUAGCAGUGAAAUGCGUAGAUAUCAAGAGGAACACCAGUGGCGAAGGCGAGUCCCUGGACAAUUCCUGACACUGAGGCACGAAAGCCAAGGGAGCAAACAGG